AUGAGGAACGCAGCGAAAUGCGAUAAGUAGUGUGAAUUGCAGAAUUCAGUGAAUCAUCGAAUCUUUGAACGCACAUUGCGCCCCUUGGUAUUCCAUGGGGCAUGCCUGUUCGAGCGUCAUUUGUACCUUCAAGCUUUGCUUGGUGUUGGGUGUUUGUCUCGCCUUUGCGUGUAGACUCGCCUUAAAAUAAUUGGCAGCCGGCGUAUUGAUUUCGGAGCGCAGUACAUCUCGCGCUUUGCACUCAUAACGACAGCGUCCAAAAGUACAUUUUACACUCUUGACCUCGGAUCAGGUAGGGAUACCCGCUGAACUUAAGCAUAUCAAUAAGCGGAGGA
rnacentral:misc_RNA from 1 species